rnacentral:lncRNA from 1 species
AAAAAGGAUCUGAAAAGCUUUGCUCCGAGUCUACUCCAUGCUUCUGUUCAGCAGACAGACUGGUAACUGACGGCCAUGGUAGAGACGGCAGGCACAGCUGGCUAGGUCUCAUGGUUCAAGAAGGAGAAAAGAUAUCAAUGAUCGUAAUCAGCACUGGAUGCUUCAUAAUACCAAACUGACUUGCCAAGCAAGAUGUGAUUCUUGGGGCAAUCAUGGCAUGAUUGUUGUGGAGUUAACCAACUACUCUAGAGGAGUUCUGCUUCCAGAUGUAAACCCUGAGUGAAAUUCUGGCAUAUAUGCCCAGGAAGCCUGUGGAAAAGUAGACAAGGCAAAUGCUUUUUUUGGAAAAGACCUAAGUGCCACCA